GUAGCUUAGUGGUAGGACAUCUGCCUUGCAUGCAGAAGGUCCCUGGUUCAAUCUCCAGCAUCUACU